CCCUCCUUGUAGGACUAUCCCUCUGCCAUGUGGAACCCGGUGUACUUCCUGCUUUGAUCAAUGGGUGUGGGGGCUCUAUGGCCAGGGUGUGGCUUGCCGUGUUCUCUCUUCUGCUGACACAAUGACUGGCAAUACUCAGUCCAGAGUGAAGAAGAGGCCGAGCAGAGCUGCAGCUGACCUACAGUGGACAUACAAUACGAGGAAGAACCUUUGCUGUUGUGAGCCUCCGAGCUUUGAUUUGUUCCUGUAGCAUAACCCAGCUUAUCCUGGGUGAUCCAGCAAGCAAACCUUUCUCAGCUCAGCCACACAUAUUCACACCUGUGGGGAGGCCAACAACCAGGACCUGAAUGGAACCACGAUCGAGGGUAAUCCAGUACAGACAAUGCACACCGAAACAGAAGGUCUAGAGCUCUCAUUUUAGCCUCCAGAGCAGGGAUGCUGUGAGGCCCAUGCAACAGAUGUCUCCCCCAGGACACUCCACUCUCAACUUCCGUUCUGCGUAGGCAGCCGAGAUGCCCAUAUUACAACCAGCUCCUACUCUUCUCUAUUGGCACAAACAGUCGGCUGAGGGAUCCCUGCUGGUGGGGCUUCAUUUCUUCACCUCGCAGUGAAGGGGCAGAUGGGGGAACUGUGGCCCAGAGAAGUAAAGUAACUUGCCUAAAGUCACACAGCUGGUCAGCGGCCAGGUUGUGGCUACACUCGGGUACUCCGAACAUCCAGCGAGGAAUUGCAGGUAGAUUUGAAGUGAGGCUUAAGGAAUAUGAUCUUAUGAAAAAAUCAAGAAGUAGGAAUUUUCAAAAUCUCCAUGUAUUUUCACCUGUUAACUCAUUCAGAAGGCAGAAACUGCAUCUCAGCAAGCACUCCAUAAACAUCUCAAUGAGUGAACCCCAAACAAAUGCUGGUUCCCCUCUUCAAGUAAAGAAGCGGUAUAAGCUACUUUUAAAAUGAGACUAAAAAAAUCCUUAAAACAUUUUGAUUAAAAAGUAGAAAUAAAACUUAGGUAACAUAUCUGUGGGAAAAGCUAUUUUAAUCAUUACAUUUUUACUGAAGUGAGACCAGAAUAACUUACAGGACAGUUUGAAUGACUGUAAAUUGCUGAAUUAGGCACAUAAAAUCAGAUUACUUAAGAGGUGCUACCCGGCUGUCUGGCUACUUUUAGAGAACCUAUCAUUUCUAAGAUUUAUUCGAAAAUAUCUUGUUUUAGUAUUUAAGUGUAUCAGUACAGGUACCUAUUCCUCUAUUGUUAGAAUAAACAUAAUUUUGUACUGGAGGCUCCAGGGCGACAGGUGUCGAAAUUCCCACAUAAUUAAGAAUUAUCUCAUAUAUCCCACACAGUUUUUAAAGUUCUGACAUUCUUGUAGGUGAAAAACCUAUUUAUAAUGAUCUGAGUUUAGGAGACAUCUAUUUUCAGCUACAAUGGAACAGCUCAUAGCAGAUGAACACUCCUACUGAGAAGAAUUAGAAAAGCUGGAUAAAAUACCGCCAAUUACUCAAUCAAUAUGCAAACAAACUGGAGAGAUGUCAAGGCAGUUAAGACAAGAAGCCAAAACUAAAGUCAGGCAUGGGAGUCGAGGGGUCUACUAAGAAGCAGGCUUUCAGCAGUCUUCCUGGGCUGGGGGGUUGGGGUGGCAAAAUAAAUAAAUAAAUAGGAGUGCAGGGGUGCAGGACACCAACUCAGCUAAAACUCGAGGAAACAAAAUCCCUGAAAAAAGUGAGUCAGAGAGAAGAGAACCCUGUAUUUGGUGGUUUUCCCUUGAGACAGCUGCCAAUACCUAAGUCAUUCAGGGCAGCAGGUUAAGAGGCUGAAAGCAGGUUGAGAAAGUUUGGGACUUCUGGUAAUUUCAAAGGGUGGAGGUGUUCAGGACAUGCCCAGAGGAGGGGCCAUAGGAAAUCCUGUAGACGGUCAGUUGAGAUCUCUGGAAAGUUACACCCACUUGAUUUCAGUAAUUGAUCAUUUGAGCCACUUGUUUUUUCUUGCUUUAAAUUCACUCUUAGGUUUUAUUUUUUUUAUUUUUAUUUUUUUGAGGAAGAUUAGCCCUGAGCUAACAUCUGCUGCCAAUCCUCCUCUUUUUGCUGAGGAACACUAGCCCUGAACUAACAUCUGUGCCCAUCUUCUUCCACUUUCUAUGUGGGUCGCCUACCACAGCACGGCUUGCCAAGCGGUGCCAUGUCCGCACCCAGGAUCCAAACCGGCAAACCCUGUGCCACCAAAGCGGAACCUGUGCACUUAACCACUGUGCCACCAGGCCAGCCCUACUCUUAGGUUUUAAAUUCAUGCUCUCAGGGUUUACCCAGAGACAGGCGCAGCCUUACAAAGAUGGCAAUCUUGCCUAACCAGCUCUGACCCUGCCUGCAGAUGCAGAGCAACGCUGACCAUUAUCUCCAAAGCAACAGUAAGAAGGACAGCUAACUUCUCCACAGUAACAAUAGAAACCAGAAGAAAAUAGAGUGGCAUCUUUAAAGUGUGGAAGGAAAAUCCUAGCAUUCUACAGGCAGUUAACAUACUCUUUGAAAAAAGGAUGCAAAAUAAAGACAUUUCCAAACAAACAUAAACUGAGAGAAUUCAUUAGGAGAUUCACACUAAAAGAUAUCAUAAUUAGAGUUCUUCAGGAAGGAGGAAAAAGACCCCAGAUAAAAACAUGAAAAUACAGGAAAGAAUGAAGAGCAGUAGAAAUGGCAAUUGUUGGUAAAUGCAGAUGAAUAUUCAACUAUAUAAAACAAAAAUAAUGUCUGACAAAGUAUGGAGGCAUAUAUAGAUAUCUAUCUCAACAACAAUAAACAUGUGGAAAGUAGUGAAUGUUCUAAUUUAAAUUAGAUUCUAUUAAGUAAAGAAUGUCACUAAAAGAAUAAAUAAGUACCAUGAUAAUAAAAGGGGAGAAGGAUAUAAUAAUAUUUCAUUAAUCCAAAAUAGGCAAGAAACAAGAGGAAAAGGUACAUAAAACUUGUGGGACAAGUAGAAAAAAAUAAUAAAAUGGCAGAUGUGAAUCCAAAUACCUCAGUAAUAACAUUAAAUAUAAUUGGAUUACAUAUUCCAAUUAAAAGACAACAAUUAUCAGACUACAUUUAAAAAAACUCUAUGCUACAGGAGAUAAAACCUAAAGACUACAAACACAAAAGGGUUGAAAGUAAAAGGAUGAAAAACAUUAUACAAACACCAACCAAAAGUAACUGAUACACCUACAUUAAUAUCAUAUAAAAGAAACUUUAAGACAAUCAGCUUUGGUAGAGAUAACCAAGGGCAUACCAUAACAAUAAAAGAGUCAAUCUACCAUGAAGACAAAACAAUUCUAAAUUUACACCCAUGUAGUACUCUUACCGGCUCUUACUUAAUAUCAGCCUUGAUAUUGGCUCCCCUACAGUGAACCUGGCACAUAGGGUGUUAAAACUAAAAACCUGCAUUCCUGGUUCCCUGGGUCUUUAGUUACACUCAUAUGUACAUGUUUGUGUCUUUAGUCUCUGACUCCCUGAGCUUUACAACCAAACAGAAGUUACAAAUUGUUAAAGCCCAGAUGGCUGGGCUCCCACUAAAGUUGUCGCUAAUCCCAGGACCUUGAAGUUCUUUUACGGAGAAACUAAUGUCCAGAGAAUAUCAAGAAACUUAAGCUUCCCAGGCUCAACUCCUCGGCUUCCUGACGUCAGAGUCUCCCGUCCACCAUGGAGAUGAACAGUCAAGGACGCUCACCUGAGAAAUCUUUUGUCUCCUCUGCUGGAAGCAGCCCCAGAUGCAGGCGGAUGGGAAAAUGCAGACCAAGAAGGCCACGGCCCCCUCCCCUACCUAAAACCCCAAAUAAAAACCCCUACCCAUAUCUCAAAGGGGAGCAAGCAACUUUGGGGGCACUAGCCCUUGCUUUGCUCUCUCUGCCUGGCAAAGUAAAGCUUUCCUUUUUCUCCCAAGACUCUGUUCUCGUUAUUGGAUUGGCAUCAGGAUCAGAGACUGAACUUUUGGUAAUAGUACAAGCCUGAGAGUGGGCUUUUCAUUUAUAACACAAGUACCUGACUUAAGCUUUGAUUGUGAGGCAUCCACUCCAAACAGAGCUAUCUGGAAUAAACACACUGCCAGCCACAGGACCAGAUAAAGAGCCAGGCCAUCUCCCUGUACUGAACAGCCUUUGUUUCAGAGAUCUUGGUGGAUUUCAGUAAUUGACCAAUUGGGCGACUUGUUUUUUCUUGCUUUAAAUUCACUCUUAGGUUUUAAAUUCACUAAUAAAGAGUGAACCCCUGAAACCUUAUGCUCCUACCCUCAAUCCCAUAAAAGCAGAACACCAGGCCCGUGCACUCUUUACCUGUGACCUGUGUGGCCCCAGGUGUGCUAUGUAAUUUCCAGUCCUGC
rnacentral:lncRNA from 1 species